rnacentral:rRNA from 1 species
AUUGAACGCUGGCGGCAUGCCUAACACAUGCAAGUCGAGCGGAGCGGCGGACGGGCGAGUACUGCCUAGGGAUCUGCCUGGUGGUAGGGGAUAACGUCCGGAAACGGGCGCUAAUACCGCAUCCUAGCAGCUGAGCCUCGGUCCGAUUAGCUAGUUGGUGGGGUAAAGGACUACAAAGGCGACGAUCCGUAACUGGUCUGAGAGGAUGAUCAGUCACACUGGAACUGAGACACGGACCAGACUCCUACGGGAGGCAGCAGGUGGGAAUAUUGGGCAAUGGGCGAAAGUCUGACCGAGCCAUGCCGCGUGAGUGAAGAAGGUUUGCGGAUUGUAAAGCACUGUUAGUUGGGAAGCGGUACCAAAAGAGAAAGCAACGGCUAACUACGUGCCAGCAGCCGCGGUAAUAC